UACGGGGGGGGCAAGCGUUGUUCGGAAUUACUGGGCGUAAAGGGCUCGUAGGCGGCCAACUAAGUCAGACGUGAAAUCCCUCGGCUUAACCGGGGAACUGCGUCUGAUACUGGAUGGCUCGAGUUUGGGAGAGGGAUGCGGAAUUCCAGGUGUAGCGGUGAAAUGCGUAGAUAUCUGGAGGAACACCGGUGGCGAAGGCGGCAUCCUGGACCAACACUGACGCUGAUGAGCGAAAGCCAAGGGAGCAAACGGG
rnacentral:rRNA from 1 species